GUCAGGUAGUAAGGGCGCAGGGCGGAUGCCUUGGCUCUGGGAAGCGAAGAAGGACGUGGCCAGCUGCGAUAAGCCUCGGGGAAGAGCAAACAUCUUUUGAUCCGGGGAUUUCCGAAUGGGGUAACCCGCAUGGCUGUUGAGGCCAUGCACUGUUGAGUGAAUACAUAGCUCAUCAGGGCGAACUUGGGGAACUGAAACAUCUCAGUACCCAAAGGAAUAGAAAUCAACCGAGAUUCUGCUAGUAGCGGCGAGCGAACGCGGAAGAGCCCAAACCACCGGGUACGCCCGGUGGGGUUGUAGGGCCGCCAACAAAGGAUAAUUGGAGGAUUAGCUGAAGUGUCUGGGAAGGCACGGCAUAGAGGGUUAGACCCCCGUAAGCGAAAGUCUGAAGAUGUCCGAGGCGGUACCUGAGUAGGACGGGACACGAGAAAUCCUGUUUGAAUCUGGGGGGACCACCCUCCAAGGCUAAAUAUUACCCAGAGACCGAUAGUGUACCAGUACCGUGAGGGAAAGGUGAAAAGAACCUCGAACAGAGGAGUGAAAUAGUUCCUGAAACCCUGCGUCUACAAGCAGUGGAAGCAAUGCUGAUCUUCGGAUCACGUGCGACCGCGUGCCUUUUGCAUAAUGAGCCAACGAGUUGUCUGUCGGUGGCAGGUUAAGUUUAUAACGAAGCCACAGCGAAAGCGAGUUCGAAAUGAGCGUUCAGUCCCCGGCAACAGACCCGAAACCGAGUGAUCUACCCCUGUCCAGGUUGAAGCCUGGGUAAGACCAGGUGGAAGACCGAACCGUUGAGCCUUAAAACGUUCUCGGAUGAGGUGGGGGUAGGAGUGAAAGGCUAAUCAAACUCGGAGAUAGCUGGUUCUCCCCGAAAUAUAUUGAGGUAUAGCCUCGUGAUAGACCGCCGGAGGUAGAGCACUGGAUGGACUAGGGCCCUCACCAGGGUACCAAACCCAACCAAACUGCGAAUACCGGUGAGUUGUUUCACGGGAGUCAGACAGCGGGAGCUAACUUUCGUUGUCGAAAGGGAAACAACCCAGACCAUCAGCUAAGGCCCCCAAGUCAUGACUAAGUGGGAAAGGAAGUGGGAGCGCCCAGACAACCAGGAGGUUGGCUUAGAAGCAGCCACCCUUUAAAGAAAGCGUAACAGCUCACUGGUCGAGCGAGCCUGCACCGAAAAUUUAACGGGGCUCAAGUCAUGCGCCGAAGCUAUGGGAUUUAUAUUUAUAUAAAUCGGUAGGGGAGCGUUCCCUGUGCAGUGAAGCUGAAUCGAAAGGGUCAGUGGAGCGCAGGGAAGUGAGGAUGUUGGCAUAAGUAACGAAAAUGUGGGCGAGAAACCCACACGCCGAAAGCCCAAGGUUUCCCGGGCCAUGUUAUUCAGCCCGGGGUUAGUCGGCACCUAAGACGAGGCCGAAAGGCGUAGUCGACGGAAAACCGGUUCAUAUUCCGGUACUUGCAUGUGCGCGUGAUGGAGGGACGCAGGAGGAUAGGCCGGCCUGGUGAUGGAUAUCCAGGUUCAAGGCCGUAGGCGGAAGUCUCAGGUAAAUCCGGGACUUUAUCUAACGCCGAGAGUCGAUGACGAGAGGCUUUGCUUCGCAAAGCGGUCGAUUCCACACUGCCAAGAAAAGCUUCUAAGCAUAGCAGAUGCAAACCGUACCCCAAACCGACACAGGUGGGCGGGUAGAGAAUACCAAGGCGCUUGAGGGAAAUCAUGUUAAGGAACUCUGCAAAAUAACUCCGUAACUUCGGAAGAAGGAGUGCCUGCAGCGGUGAAGGGACUUGCUCCUGGAGCUUAAGCGGGCCGCAGUGACCAGGCCCAGCCGACUGUUUAGCAAAAACACAGCACUCUGCUAAAUCGCAAGAUGAUGUAUAGGGUGUGACGCCUGCCCGGUGCCGGAAGGUUAAUGGGAGGGGUUAGGUCUUCGGACCGAAGCUCCGAACUGAAGCCCCGGUAAACGGCGGCCGUAACUAUAACGGUCCUAAGGUAGCGAAAUUCCUUGUCGGGU
rnacentral:rRNA from 1 species